rnacentral:rRNA from 1 species
GACGAACGCUGGCGGCGUGCUUAACACAUGCAAGUCGAACGGAAAGGCCCCUUUGGGGGUACUCGAGUGGCGAACGGGGGAGUAACACGUGAGUAACCUGCCCUUGACUUCGGGAUAACUUCAGGAAACUGGGGCUAAUACCGGAUAGGAAUCCUUGCUGCAUGGUGGGGGUUGGAAAGCUUCGGCGGUUUUGGAUGGACUCGCGGCGUAUCAGCUUGUUGGUGGGGUAGUGGCUUACCAAGGCUUUGACGGGUAGCCGGGCUGAGAGGGCGACCGGCCACAUUGGGACUGAGAUACGGCCCAGACGCCUACGGGAGGCAGCAGUGGGGAAUAUUGCACAAGGGGCGGAAGCCUGAUGCAGCAACGCCGCGUGCGGGAUGACGGCCUUCGGGUUGUAAACCGCUUUCAGCAGGGGCGAAGCUUGUGGUGACGGUACCUGCAGAAGAAGCACCGGCUAACUACGUG